UUUGUGUCCUGUUACACUAGGUGGUGGCACCACGCCCACUUGAUGAUGAUGCAGCUGAUGAACCAGGCAGUUGUUGGCCAGGCUGGUCAGGACGCCGUCUCUGCUGAAGAUAAUAACCCCCAGUAGCUUGACCAGCAGAACUUGUACCACUAGAAUGUGGAGGUUGAGCUUGCACAUAUGGACUUGAGAAGAACAGCUGUGCUUGCUGCAUGCUCUUAUGUAAAUGUUGCUGUUGCUGCUGCUGUGACAUUUGAGGCUUAGUUCCACCACCAGAAGUUGAAGCUAUAUUAUGAGGGUUUCCAAGAAUUGAUGGCACAUUCCUCCCACCAGCUGGAGAUGACUUCUGGUUGGGAACUGAAGAUGAGGAUUUACCCUGCUGUGUUGACAAUGAUGAGUUCUGGCCGGUUUUAUUACUUGUAGUUGCAGAAUUUGUAGGUCUUGGGCUACCACUGGCACCUUUUGAGAUUGAAGAAGUGGUAGGAGAGCCAACCAUCAUGGGGGAAGAGGGAGACUGAUUACUGUUUGGGGGCUGUUGUCCUGGUGGUGGAGGAGUGGAUCUCUGAUUCGUGCCAAAAGAUAUCUGUGUGUGACUUUGCUGGGAUCUAACAUGCUGCUGCU
rnacentral:misc_RNA from 1 species